GAUGAACGCUGGCGGCGUGCCUAAUACAUGCAAGUCGAGCGAACAGACGAGGAGCUUGCUCCUCUGACGUUAGCGGCGGACGGGUGAGUAACACGUGGAUAACCUACCUAUAAGACUGGGAUAACUUCGGGAAACCGGAGCUAAUACCGGAUAAUAUAUUGAACCGCAUGGUUCAAUAGUGAAAGACGGUUUUGCUGUCACUUAUAGAUGGAUCCGCGCCGCAUUAGCUAGUUGGUAAGGUAACGGCUUACAAAGGAAACGAUGCGUAGCCGACCUGAGAGGGUGAGCGGCCACACUUGAACUGAGACACGGUCCAGACUCCUACGGGAGGCAGCAGUAGGGAAUCUUCCUCAAUGGGCGAAAGCCUGACGGAGCAACGCCGCGUGAGUGAUGAAGGUCUUCGGAUCGUAAAACUCUGUUAUUAGGGAAGAACAAAUGUGUAAGUAACUAUGCACGUCUUGACGGUACCUAAUCAGAAAGCCACGGCUAACUACGUGCCAGCCGCCGCCGUAA
rnacentral:rRNA from 1 species